UACGAAGGGGGCUAGCGUUGCUCGGAAUUACUGGGCGUAAAGGGCGCGUAGGCGGAUAGUUUAGUUGGGGGUGAAAGCCCGGGGCUCAACCUCGGAAUUGCCUUCAAUACUGGCUAUCUUGAGUGUGAGAGAGGUGUGUGGAACUCCGAGUGUAGAGGUGAAAUUCGUAGAUAUUCGGAAGAACACCAGUGGCGAAGGCGACACACUGGCUCACUACUGACGCUGAGGCGCGAAAGCGUGGGGAGCGAACAGG
rnacentral:rRNA from 1 species